rnacentral:rRNA from 1 species
AGAGUUUGAUCCUGGCUCAGAAUCAACGCUGGCGGCGUGCCUAACACAUGCAAGUCGAACGAGAAAGUGGAGCAACCCAUGAGUAAAGUGGCGCACGGGUGAGUAACACGUGACUAACCUACCCUGGAGUGGGGGAUAACUGAGGGAAACCUUAGCUAAUACUGCAUAAUACCUACGGGUCAAAGGAGCAAUUCGCUUCAGGAGGGGGUCGCGGCCGAUUAGUUAGUUGGCGGGGUAAUGGCCCACCAAGACAGUGAUCGGUAUCCGGCCUGAGAGGGCGCACGGACACACUGGAACUGAAACACGGUCCAGACUCCUACGGGAGGCAGCAGUGGGGAAUUUUGCGCAAUGGGGGAAACCCUGACGCAGCAACGCCGCGUGGAGGAUGAAGUCCUUCGGGACGUAAACUCCUUUCGAUCGGGACGAUAAAC